UUGAGCUGUAUGCCGUGAAAGUGGCACGUACAGUUCUGAGUGGGGGAAAGCCCGUAAGGGCCUACCUAUCACAAC
rnacentral:ncRNA from 1 species